AAAUGAAUUGACGGGGGCCCGCACAAGCGGUGGAGCAUGUGGCUUAAUUCGAGGCAACGCGAAGAACCUUACCUGGGCUUGAAAUAUAUUUGACAGUCUGUGAAAGCAGAUCUUCCUUCGGGACAGAUAUACAGGUGCUGCAUGGCUGUCGUCAGCUCGUGUUGUGAAAUGUUCGGUUAAGUCCGGCAACGAGCGCAACCCGCGUCAUCAGUUGCCAGCAGGUAAAGCUGGGGACUCUGGUGAGACUGCCUGUGUUAAGCAGGAGGAAGGCGCGGAUGACGUCAAGUCAGUAUGGCCCUUACGCCCAGGGCUGCACACGUGCUACAAUGGUCGGUACAAUGAGACGCAAUACCGCGAGGUGGAGCAAAUCUACAAAACCGAUCUUAGUUCAGAUUGCAGUCUGCAACUCGACUGCAUGAAGUUGGAAUCGCUAGUAAAGGCGUAUCAGCUACGACGCCUUGAAUACGUUCCCGGGCCUUGUACACACCGCCCGU
rnacentral:rRNA from 1 species